AGCAGCCGCGGUAAUUCCAGCUCCAAUAGCGUAUAUUAAAGUUGUUGCAGUUAAAAAGCUCGUAGUUGAAUUUCGGGAUCAAAGAAUCGGUCAUGCCUUGGUAUGUACUGGUUUUAUUGGUUCUCACCUUCUAAAGAACCAUGAUGUCAUUCAUUUGAUGUUAUGGGGAAUUAGGACUGUUACCUUGAAAAAAUUUAGAGUGUUUAAAGCAAGCUUACGCUUGAAUACAUUAGCAUGGAAUAAUGAAAUAGGACAUCAGAUUCUAUUUUGUUGGUUUCUAGGAUCGAUGUAAUGAUUAAUAGGGAUAGUUGGGGGCAUUAGUAUUCAAUUGUCAGAGGUGAAAUUCUUGGAUUUAUUGAAGACUAACUACUGCGAAAGCAUUUGCCAAGGAUGUUUUCAUUAAUCAAGAACGAAAGUUAGGGGAUCGAAGACGAUCAGAUACCGUCGUAGUCUUAACCAUAAACUAUGCCGACUAGGGAUCGGAUGAUGUUAAUUUUUUUAAUGACUCAUUCGGCACCUU
rnacentral:rRNA from 1 species